UCCACCCUACAAGCCUCGAAUUUACUUCUUCUUCCUCAUCCAUGCUUCUCACAUCUUCAUCCUCAUCUUCUUCCCGCCAUUACACGCAACAGAAAUCUUCUAGACCAACAACACUCGACGCGACGACGACACUAUCAAGAUCUCACCUCCUCACGAAGAUCCUCAAGUUUCUAGAGUUAUGAUCGAUUUGUUCUAGACUUAUUAUGAUUUUGUGUAAUUUUUGCCCUUUUUCCCCA
rnacentral:ncRNA from 1 species